GAUGAACGCUGGCGGCGUGCCUAAUACAUGCAAGUCGAGCGAACAGACGAGGAGCUUGCUCCUCUGACGUUAGCGGCGGACGGGUGAGUAACACGUGGAUAACCUACCUAUAAGACUGGGAUAACUUCGGGAAACCGGAGCUAAUACCGGAUAAUAUAUUGAACCGCAUGGUUCAAUAGUGAAAGACGGUUUUGCUGUCACUUAUAGAUGGAUCCGCGCCGCAUUAGCUAGUUGGUAAGGUAACGGCUUACCAAGGCAACGAUGCGUAGCCGACCUGAGAGGGGGAUCGGCCACACUGGAACUGAGACACGGUCCAGACUCCUACGGGAGGCAGCAGUAGGGAAUCUUCCGCAAUGGGCGAAAGCUUGACGGAGCAACGCCGCGUGAGUGAUGAAGGUCUUCGGAUCGUAAAACUCUGUUAUGAGGGAAGAACAAAUGUGUAAGUAACUAUGCACGUCUUGACGGUACCUAAUCAGAAAGCCACGGCUAACUACGUG
rnacentral:rRNA from 1 species